rnacentral:misc_RNA from 1 species
GAUGAAGAACGUAGCGAAAUGCGAUAACUAAUGUGAAUUGCAGAAUUCCGUGAAUCAUCGAAUCUUUGAACGCACAUUGCGCCCCUUGGUAUCCCGAGGGGCAUGCCUGUUCGAGCGUCAUUUCACCACUCAAGCCUGGCUUGGUGUUGGGCGACGUCCCCUUUGGGGACGCGCCUCGAAACGCUCGGCGGCGUGGCACCGGCUUUAAGCGUAGCAGAAUCUUUCGCUUUGGAAGUCGGGGCCCCGUCUGCCGGAAGACCUACUCGCAAGGUUGACCUCGGAUCAGGCAGGGAUACCCGCUGAACUUAAGCAUAUCAAUAAGCGGAGGA